UACAGAGGGGGCAAGCGUUGUUCGGAAUUACUGGGCGUAAAGGGCGCGUAGGCGGCCUGCUAAGUCGAACGUGAAAUCCCUGGGCUCAACCCAGGAACUGCGUCCGAUACUGGUUGGCUUGAAUCCGGGAGAGGGAUGUGGAAUUCCAGGUGUAGCGGUGAAGUGCGUAGAUAUCUGGAGGAACACCGGUGGCGAAGGCGACAUCCUGGACCGGCAUUGACGCUGAGGCGCGAAAGCCAGGGGAGCAAACGGG
rnacentral:rRNA from 1 species